UGAGGGGUUAACUCUCCCAGGGCUGUAGCCAAGCGAGCUGCACCAGGUGCUGGAGAAACCUUCAGGCAGAGGAGCCAUGAGAUGCAGGGACUUGAGAUGGGGAGCUAGCUGUACGUACGCAGGAAACUGACCACCACAGAUACAGGUAGUCUCAGAGGGGGGCUGAGGAGAAACAGGGCGGGGCGUGAACAGCAUCCGUCCACCAACCCACAGUGUCCUGAGGUCGUCAACCAAAUUCAUAGAAGGGAAGAUGCUUUGUCAAUUUCAUACACAAUCAGAGGCGAGCCCUGAUCUGUUUUCCGGCGCCCUGGGAAUGCUGUCUCUUCCCUCCACAGACGGAGGACUACAGCGAGGUGCUCCUAUCAUGUCCCCUCCCCUCCUGAAGGUUCUGGAAAUCUGGAAAAAUUCUCAUUAUGAAGCUUUCUCCUGCAUGUCAGGUCCACGGCCAGGAAACGUCAGAUUCAACCUCAGAGGGAGGUUUCCAUGCAGCUUGUUCAAGGAGUUCUUUGCACAUCGGUGAUUUUGAAAUGAUUCCCCUAGCAAAAUCAGUUUUAGUUUUGUGGCAUAGAAUUAAAUAUUCUGGGAACAAAGAUGCUUAGGGAAUGGGCUGCUGACCUACUUGAUAGAACUUUUUAGGUAAUUAUGAUGACAAUCAUUUUUGAAAAAGGAAAGUCUUAAAUAUUCAUAUGUUUUGAUCUAAUAACUUUAUUUCUUGGCAUAUAUUAUAAGGAAAUACUCCAAUGUAAAAUGCUUUAUACAUACACAAAACAACGUGUUUGUCACAAAAUUACUUGUAAGUGUAAUGACGGCUAACUAUAGGGCAGUGUUCAAAUCUUGUGAAGAGUUUGUAAUAGUGUGGAAAAAAUUGUGCUGUGACAAUGUUCUGAGAAAAAUACAGAUUUCAAUAUUGCAUGCAUGGCUCAAUCAUCCCAAUGAAAAUAAACCAAAUAAAAAUGAUGCAUAGAAAAAAGAUAAUUUUAUAUCAAAAUGUUAAUGGUGGUUGUCUUAGGGUGCUGUCAUUAAGGGAGAUGUUUUGCUUCUGUUGACUUUCCUGUAUUUUUAUAUUAAACAGACAUUACAGUUCAGAGGACAUUUACUUUUCAAUGUUAUAUAAAAAUAUUUGUGUCCAAAAUUAAGUAAAUACUAUCUUUACAAUUGAGUAAACAUAUGCAUGUAAAAAAAGACUGGAAGGGAAUACAGAAAUG
rnacentral:lncRNA from 1 species